rnacentral:rRNA from 1 species
UACGUAGGGCGCAAGCGUUAUCCGGAAUUAUUGGGCGUAAAGAGCUUGUAGGCGGUUUGUCGCGUCUGCUGUGAAAACUCGGGGCUUAACCCCGGGCCUGCAGUGGGUACGGGCAGACUAGAGUGCGGUAGGGGAGACUGGAAUUCCUGGUGUAGCGGUGAAAUGCGCAGAUAUCAGGAGGAACACCGGUGGCGAAGACGGGUCUCUGGGCCGUAACUGACGCUGAGGAGCGAAAGCAUGGGGAGCGAACAGG